rnacentral:rRNA from 1 species
ACGGGGUUUAGUUUGUAGUAAUACACGCUAAAUCCAGUGGCGAACGGGUGCGUAACACGUGAGUAAUCUGCCGGGAAGUGGGGGAUAGCUCGCCGAAAGGCGAAUUAAUACCGCAUAUGACAAGGGAAGACAUCUUUCCGAAGUCAAAGUCGCAAGACGCUUCCUGAUGAGCUCGCGGCCUAUCAGCUAGUUGGUGAGGUAACGGCCCACCAAGGCAAUGACGGGUAGCUGGUCUGAGAGGACGACCAGCCACACUGGAACUGAGACACGGUCCAGACACCUACGGGUGGCAGCAGUCGAGAAUUUUUCACAAUGGGGGAAACCCUGAUGGAGCGACGCCGCGUGGAGGAUGAAGGUCUUCGGAUUGUAAACUCCUGUCAUGCGAGAACAAGAAAGUGAUAGUAUCGCAAGAGGAAGAGACGGCUAACUCUGUGCCAGCAGCCGCGGUAAUACAGAGGUCUCAAGCGUUGUUCGGAUUCAUUGGGCGUAAAGGGUGCGUAGGUGGCGUGGAAAGUUGAGUGUGAAAUCCUAGGGCUUAACCUUAGAACUGCACUCAAUACUCCCAUGCUAGAGGAAUGUAGAGGAGAGUGGAAUUCACGGUGUAGCAGUGAAAUGCGUAGAUAUCGUGAGGAAGACCAGUUGCGAAGGCGACUCUCUGGGCAUUUCCUGACACUGAGGCACGAAGGCCAGGGGAGCGAACGGGAUUAGAUACCCCGGUAGUCCUGGCAGUAAACGGUGCACGUUUGGUGUGGGCGGGCUCAGACCCCGUCCGUGCCGGAGCUAACGCGUUAAACGUGCCGCCUG